CUUUUAGUCUGGCAAAUUUCUUAACCUCAGUGAGUGUUUUCUCUGGCUUUGUACAGGAGGGAGCGAGAAAAAAAAAACAGCCAACAGACCUCAGUAUAAAUUCUUCAGGAAAAAAACCCCUAAAAUGUUGACCUACCAGCUUUCAUCCUCUUGUGUAAUUUGACCCAGCUCAACAGUUUGGUAAGUGCAACCUGCCGGCAUUUCCUCUCAAAAUGCUUUUUUGUCAAGUCCAUCUGCAGAGUCAACUCCAGGGUAUCUCUCUUGCUCUGUGCAAUGAACCUCUUCCACUUCCUGUCACCCAACAAGAAACAGCUCAUCAUUAAUUCAGCAAACAGGGAGGCAGGCUGUCAGGAGCCAGGCUUAACUGACAAAGGAUGGGAAUCAAGUAACAAAAAAAUAAUAAUUUAUCUAAUUUAUAAAACAGUUUAUUAUGAUUAUAAAGCUAAAGCUGGACUGACAAAGACUGACCGAGUGAAACAGAGCACCCUGAUAACUUUACCUACUUAUUACUUAUUAACAGUGAGAGAAAGUCUUUAGAUUCUCUGAAGCUGAGUUACUGUUUCACAGUAAAAAUGCAACCAGAUCAAAUUCACCGUGCACCACCAGUUUGAGGACCUGCAAGAACUAACUCAGCAGCAGCUGCUUUCAAUAACUUCGAUUGCAAUCAGUGGAAGCAGAAUGUGAGAAAGUUUUGUGUCCCCUCUGACAUCUUUCCUGCCACUGUGGCUUCACUCAGAGCAUGAGUGAUUAUUUUGCUGGUUUGUAGCUUUAAUCAUUAUUCUGCUGCAGGUAGAGUCUGUGGUUGAGCUCAACCUCAUGGCUCGUUCAUUCAGGCUCUCCUGGCUUUGCACUCUGUUGUGGAGCUGCUUGUGCUUUCCUCCUGAAGAAGGUUACAGUAGUGCACAUGGCUACUAUCUCUAUGAGAGCCCGCAAACCUCUAGCAGAUUUCAUUCUGGACAGUCUUUGAAUACAAACAAUGAGAAUGUUGGACGGCAAAGCUUUGUUUCCCGUCAGCCAGAAGCAUUUACUUAUGAUAAAGGACAGGAUGCUACCCCUGAGAUGAAGCAAAGCCAGCCUGAUAAGUUUCACGGGGCCUCUUCUGCUCCUCUUAUAGAGCAAAAUGAGCAGUCUGGUUAUCACCAUCCCUUUGACCUUUUAGUGAGGGGAAACACGCAGGAGCCUGUGAAGGGUGUCGCUUUCCCCACAAUGAGUCAUUUAAAGGAGUUUAUAGAAAACAUGAAGCAUUCCUUCUUAGUACCAGGAAGUGACUUGAGUAGACAUUUUGAAACUGCACGGGAAAAAAUGAAAACUCUCGGAACAUCCAUGGACUAUAGACCAUCUCCUGAAAAAGGAGGCACUGCCUCUGGUGACAGCAAGAAAAAUAACGAUCGGAUUGAAGAAGAUGCCAACUACCAAAUGCCAAAUAAACUCCUCUCUUUCCCUGAUCCUGUCGACUCCUCUGCAAGUCUCAUUUCUUCCAGUGUUUAUGACAACCAAAAAUUUAGGCCGGGCACCACUUUCUACCCACACGAUCAUUUAGCAGCCACAGGUCUUGCUUCAAGAAAUUUGGCACACGGUUUUCCCUGGGGAAACAAUGACUUAUCUGUGAGUGUGGAUUCAGAACAAUACAAACCACCAAAAAAAACAAAAUUUCCCUCCAGCUCCUUUCACAGGCAGGGUUCUUCCUAUAGUGAACAUGUGACUGCACCCCCUGUGAACUCUGCAAACAGCCCAUCUCAAGAUUUCAGCCAGUAUUCAAGUGAGACCUCAAAUUUAACACCUUAUUGGAAGGAUAUGCUAAAUCCAGUACAUGUCUCUCAAAGUAGAGAUCCUUUAAUGAGGUACUGGAGACCACCCAGUGGCUUUGAACUCACUAAAGACUUCCACAGAGCAAGUCAAACUGAUGUCCCAUCUGCAAAAAUCCUACCAUCUGUAUAUUCCUAUGGUAAAAAGCAUCACCCCUCCAUGCAGCAUUAUUGGCCCAAAUACAAGACAAGAAUAGGUGCUUCAGUCCAGGCACGUCAACCUACUGAGAGCAAAGAGUUGAGGACUGUAAAAUAUGCUCCCAACGUCCACUGGCCUCCAUCAAGUGGUUCUGUCUCUUUAAGCUUUAAUGACCCCUUACCCCAGUGGAGAAGAGGUCACAUGGGUUAUCAAAGCAGCCCACAAUACCCGCAAAUUCCUCAUUAUAAGCAAAAACAGAUGGACAGAGCUCACUGGAUGUUUACCGCCAAACCCUUGAAUUUUGUUCCCGGAUACCAGAAAGUCAGUGCUGUUCCCUUCGUCCUAAAUGCCCAUGCAAAACAUGAGAAUUCAAACCUCUACAAUCAAAAACUCCUAUCUACCUUUCAGAAACCGCAUUACAAUAGAUUGAGAAAUCCACCCCAGAGUGGGCUCGCAUCUUAUGGAGUAAGAAACACACUGGGCUCAUUUUCUAAACCACAGAGGCAAACUGUGAGGUCUGAACGUUUACAGCCUUUCAUGCAACCAAACAGGCACAUGCCUCGAGCCAGUGUGAGUAGACGGCCCAGACACUUGGCCAACUGGCCUUCUGAACAGCAGCCUAAACCUACAGGUUUGAUGCCUAAGUGUGUUAUUAAGAGGAACACAAAAAGCCUUCCUCCUCAAGAGUCCCGUAACACAUCUCCAUCAUCUCUAAAUCCAUACGUUAAAUCUAAAAACCGCUUCACACGGGCCGUAGCAUAUCUGUCAAAGGUCUGUUUCACACCCCGUAUGGUGCAAGGGAAGAAUAAUAACAAUCAGUGGAGACUGGUAAGAAGAUGGCGUGAAUGAAAGGACAUGACAAGUCAGUGUGCAGGACCGGGAAGAAUGAUGAACAUGUUUUUGAAGAUGAGUCUCCCUCUACGUUAAGAUGCAUUCAUAUUCCUCAGUCCAGUGAAUACAUGGAGGCUCUGCUCUUUGCCUGUUGCCAUGGUGAAUCUGGUGCUGGAGCUCCGCUGAUGAUGGCUAUUUUUUUACUGCUUAAGCACAGGCUUAACUUGAGCUGAACAUAUAUUCAGCUGAUUGAACUUUCUAGAACCACAAACCCAGAGUUUAGCAGCUCAGCAUUAAUCAACUUGGAGUUUGUUGAACCUGCUUCUAAAACAGAUCCUAUUAAGGCUGUAGUUGAAGUCUUGCUUUUGAAAGUCACUUUAAUGGUAACUUAAGCAUCAAGAAAACCUAAUUAAAGCCACUUGAAAAGAACAUUAGUGGGCAAUGUAAACAAGCAACGCAUGAGUCAUUGUUUGCAUGUGCUUGAAACACAAUGAAGUGUGGGUGAAAGGGGGCGGAGGAAUAUGAACAUGAUCUUCUCUGGACCUCUUCUGGUGGCCUAACAUGUCUUCAGGGGUUAGGAGUAAAGGCUAAAAUUAAGAGAAAGUGAGCCACCGUGUGUUCGUUUCAAGAAAAACCGGGGGUCUACGUGCCAGUGCACAGACUGGAAAUGAUUAACUGUACUGCUUCAACAUGGCAUAAAUGAAGCUGUCAUUAAAGCCCGUAAAAGUAAAAUAAAUUGGGAUAUCAUCUUUUACAUUCAGCAGGGGGUUGGUGGGGGAUGAUCUGAACUUGUUCUCCAAUGUUUAUCAUUGGCAGUGAGUCAUAUAUGAAAGGAUGGCUUCCUUUUGAAAGUAAAAAUGAUCAAAAUGAAUCAGUUUUCUUCACCAGCAUAUGUUUGCCAUCUGACACAAAGGAAAAAUCUUAAAGCUUCAGUCUCUGAAAUUCUAAAGUCAUAAAUAUGAAAGAGAAUUGUUUUAC
ensembl:lncRNA